GUAGGGAAUAUUGCACAAUGGAGGAAACUCUGAUGCAGCGACGCCGCGUGAGUGAUGAAGGCCUUCGGGUCGUAAAGCUCUGUCGCAGGGGAAUAACACAAUGAAGGUACCCUGUGAGGAAGGAUCGGCUAACUUCGUGCCAGCAGCCGCGGUAAGACGAGGGAUCCUAGCGUUGCUCGGAAUCAUUGGGCGUAAAGAGGGCGUAGGUGGCUUGGUAAGUCAGGUGUGAAAGCCCAGGGCUCAACCCUGGAAGUGCAUUUGAUACUGCUGAGCUUGAGUGUCGGAGAGGUUACCGGAAUACCUGGUGUAGUGGUGAAAUACGUAGAUAUCAGGUGGAACACCGGAGGCGAAGGCGGGUAACUGGACGAACACUGACACUGAGGCCCGAAAGCGUGGGGAUCAAACAGGAUUAGAAACCCCUGUAGUCC
rnacentral:rRNA from 1 species